rnacentral:rRNA from 1 species
UAAAAUAAUUAAGGGCACACAAAGGAUGCCUAGGUAGUAAGAGCCGAUGAAGGACGUGGUAAGCUGCGAUAAGCCUAGAUAAGUUGCAAUCGAACGUAAGAAUCUAGGAUUUCCGAAUGGAGCAAUCUAUUAAGAUGGAGUCUUAAUACGAAAGAGGGAACCGCGUGAACUGAAACAUCUAAGUAACGCGAGGAAAAGAAAGUAAAAACGAUACCCAAAGUAGCGGCGAGCGAACUGGGUCAAGCCUAAACCUUAAAUAUGUCAAGGAUACAGCCGUUGUAUUUAAGGGGUUGAGGGACAGAGUAGUGAAGAACUGUAAGAUAUUCAAUAUAGUGUAUUGAUGAAUUAGAAUUGUCUGGAAAGGUGAACCGCAGAAGGUGAAAGUCCUGUAUAAGUAAAUCCUUACACAUAUAACUUUGCUCCCAAGUAACAUGGAACACGAGGAAUUCUGUGUGAAUCAGUGAGGACCAAAUCUCAUAAGGCUAAAUACUCUUACUAACCGAUAGCGCAUAGUACCGUGAGGGAAAGGUGAAAAGAACCCCUGGAGGGGAGUGAAAUAGAACCUGAAAUUGUGUGCUUACAAGCGGUCAGAGCCCAUUUGGGUGAUGGCGUGCCUUUUGGAGAAUGAUCCUGCGAGUUACGUUAAACGGCGAGGUUAAGUAUAACGGAGCCGAAGGGAAACCAAGUCUUAAUAGGGCGAAUUAGUCGUUUGGCGUAGACGCGAAACCUGGUGAUCUAAACCUGUCCAGGAUGAAGCUGUGGUAAGACACAGUGGAGGUCCUAACCCACCGCCGUUGAAAAGUUGGGGGAUGAGGUAGGUUUAGGGGUGAAAAGCCAAUCGAACCAGGAGAUAGCUCGUUCUCUCCGAAAUGCAUCUAGGUGCAGCCUUGAGUGUUCAAUUAUGGGGGUAGAGCACUGAAUGAUCUAGGGGGCAUAUUGCUUACUGAAAUCAAUCAAACUCCGAAUACCAUAAUUUAUAGCUCAGGAGUGAGACUAUGGGAGUUAACUUCCAUUGUCAAAAGGGAAACAACCCAGACCACCAGCUAAGGUCCCUAAUUAUAACUAAGUGGGAAAGGAGGUGGAGAUUCACAAACAACUAGGAGGUUGGCUUAGAAGCAGCCAUACCUUUAAAGAGUGCGUAAUAGCUCACUAGUCGAGAGUCUCUGCGCCGACAAUGUAACGGGGCUAAGUUAUAAACCGAAGCUGUGGAAUCCUUUUGGAUUGGUAGGAGAGCGUUCUGUAGGCCGUUGAAGAAGAAGGGUAACCGACUUUGGAGGUAUCAGAAGUGAGAAUGCAGGAAUAAGUAGCGAGAAAGGGGGCGAGAAUCCCCCUCGCCGGAAGACCAAGGUUUUCAGGGUAAAGCUUGUCUUCCCUGAGUAAGCCGGGACCUAAGCCCAGGCUAUAAUGCGUAGGCGAAUGGAAAACAGAUUAAUAUUUCUGUGCCAGUCAUUUAUUGUGAUGGAGGGACGCAGAAGGGUAUGCGCGCGGACGAUCGGUUGUGUCCGUAGAAGUAUGUAGGGUGACUUAGUAGGUAAAUCCAUUAAGUUAUAUCUGAGGUAUGAUAUACAGUCGUAAGAUGAAUGCGCAAAUCCCACGCUGCCAAGAAAAGCUUCUAACGUUAAUAUAUGACUGCCCGUACUGUAAACCGACACAGGUGGUCAGGAUGAGAAAUCUAAGGCGGACAGGCUAACUCUCGUUAAGGAACUCUGCAAAAUAACCUCGUAACUUCGGGAGAAGAGGAGCCCUUGUGUGUUAGUAUCCAUGCGAUACAAAGCGCACGAGGGUCGCAGUGAAGAGGCUCAAGCAACUGUUUAACAAAAACACAGGUCUAUGCUAAGCUGUAAGGCGAUGUAUAUGGGCUGACACCUGCCCAGUGCUGGAAGGUUAAGAGGAGGAGUGAGAGCUCCGAAUUGAAGCCCCAGUGAACGGCGGCCGUAACUAUAACGGUCCUAAGGUAGCGAAAUUCCUUGUCGGGUAAG